rnacentral:rRNA from 1 species
UACGUAGGGGGCUAGCGUUGUCCGGAAUCAUUGGGCGUAAAGAGCGUGUAGGCGGUCCGGUAAGUCCGCUGUGAAAGUCGGGGGCUCAACCCUCGAAUGCCGGUGGAUACUGUCGGGCUAGAGUGCGGAAGAGGCGAGUGGAAUUCCUGGUGUAGCGGUGAAAUGCGCAGAUAUCAGGAGGAACACCGUGUCGCGAAGGCAGGCU